rnacentral:rRNA from 1 species
ACAUGCAAGUCGAACGAAGUGGCAAACGGGUGAGUAACACGUAAACAACCUGCCUUCAGGAUGGGGACAACAGACGGAAACGACUGCUAAUACCGAAUACCUGAAGAGGGGUUUGCGUCUGAUUAGGCAGUUGGUGAGGUAACGGCCCACCAAACCUACGAUCAGUAGCCGGUCUGAGAGGAUGAACGGCCACACUGGAACUGAGACACGGUCCAGACUCCUACGGGAGGCAGCAGUGGGGAAUCUUCCGCAAUGGGCGAAAGCCUGACGGAGCAACGCCGCGUGAGUGAUGACGGCCUUCGGGUUGUAAAGCUCUGUGAUCGGGGACGCGGUACCCGAAUAGCAAGCCACGGCUAACUACGUGCCAGCAGCCGCGGUAAUACGUAGGUGGCAAGCGUUGUCCGGAAUUAUUGGGCGUAAAGCGCGCGCAGGCGGUUUCUAAGUCCAUCUUAAAAGUGCGGGGCUUAACCCCGUGAUGGGAUGGAAACUGGAAGCUGGAGUAUCGGAGAGGAAAGUGGAAUUCCUAGUGUAGCGGUGAAAUGCGUAGAGAUUAGGAAGAACACCGGUGGCGAAGGCGACUUUCUGGACGACAACUGGCGCUGAGG